UGGAUACACACACACACACAAACACACUGAACACACACACACUGACACACAUAAACACUGAAACACACAAUUGACAAACACACACUGGACACUCACACGUGUUAAAUCAGUUUCUGGACCACAGGUUCUAGAACAGCUUCUAUCCCAGUUCUAUCUGUCUGUUAAAUCAGUUUCUGGACCACAGGUUCUAGAACAGCUUCUAUCCCAGUUCUAUCUGCCUGUUAAAUCAGUUUCUGGACCACAGGUUCUAGAACAGCUUCUAUCCCAGUUCUAUCUGCCUGUUAAAUCAGUUUCUGGACCACAGGUUCUAGAACAGCUUCUAUCCCAGUUCUAUCUGCCUGUUAAAUCAGUUUCUGGACCACAGGUUCUAGAACAGCUUCUAUCCCAGUUCUAUCUGCCUGUUAAAUCAGUUUCUGGACCACAGGUUCUAGAACAGCUUCUAUCCCAGUUCUAUCUGCCUGUUAAAUCAGUUUCUGGACCACAGGUUCUAGAACAGCUUCUAUCCCAGUUCUAUCUGCCUGUUAAAUCAGUUUCUGGACCACAGGUUCUAGAACAGAUUCUAUCCCAGUUCUAUCUGCCUGUUAAAUCAGUUUCUGGACCACAGGUUCUAGAACAGCUUCUAUCCCAGUUCUAUCUGCCUGUUAAAUCAGUUUCUGGACCACAGGUUCUAGAACAGCUUCUAUCCCAGUUCUAUCUGCCUGUUAAAUCAGUUUCUGGACCACAGGUUCUAGAACAGCUUCUAUCCCAGUUCUAUCUGCCUGUUAAAUCAUCAACCUAAACUGUUGUCAUCAGACUAUUACAACAUGACUGAACUUUUGGUUCCUUUUCUGAUCUUUUACCACUUUGCAUUUUUUAUGAUAUAUUUUACUGUUUGUGUUUGUACCACAGGAGGUUGGUGGGACCUUAUUUAGGGAGGACAGGCUUGUAAUGGCUGGAGUGGAAUAAGUGGAAUGGUAUCAAACACGUUUCCAUGUGUUCCAUUUCAUUCACUCUGUUCCAGACAUUAUUAUGAGCCGUCCUCCCCUCAGCAGCCUCCUCUGGUAUGUACUGUCCUGUAUGUGACAGAGAUCCAACAAGGAAUUACAAUGUAUGUAUU
rnacentral:lncRNA from 1 species